rnacentral:rRNA from 1 species
UACGUAGGGUGCGGGCGUUGUCCGGAAUUAUUGGGCGUAAAGCGCUCGUAGGCGGUUUGUCACGUCGGAUGUGAAACCCCGGGGCUCAACCCCGGGCCUGCAUUCGAUACGGGCAGACUAGAGUUCGGCAGGGGAGACUGGAAUUCCUGGUGUAGCGGUGAAAUGCGCAGAUAUCAGGAGGAACACCGGUGGCGAAGGCGGGUCUCUGGGCCGAUACUGACGCUGAGGAGCGAAAGCGUGGGGAGCAAACAGG